UACGUAGGGGGCGAGCGUUGUCCGGAAUCAUUGGGCGUAAAGCGCGUGUAGGCGGCUUGGCAAGUCCGAUGUGAAAGCUCGAGGCUCAACCUCGAGUCUGCAUUGGAAACUGCCUUGCUAGAGUCCGGAAGAGGGGACUGGAAUUCCUGGUGUAGCGGUGAAAUGCGCAGAUAUCAGGAAGAACACCGGUGGCGAAGGCGGGUCCCUGGGACGGUACUGACGCUGAGACGCGAAAGCGUGGGGAGCAAACAGGAUUAGAUACCCUGGUAGUCCACGCCGUAAACGAUGGGCACUAGGUGUGGGAGGUGUCGACUCCUCCCGUGCCGUAGCUAACGCAUUAAGUGCCCCGCCUGGGGAGUACGGCCGCAAGGCUA
rnacentral:rRNA from 1 species